rnacentral:rRNA from 1 species
AUAUUUGACCAUGGGCGCAAGCCUGAUCCAGCCAUGCCGCGUGAGUGUUGAAGUCCUUAGGGUUGUACCGCUCUCUCACCGAUGAAUUUAAUGACGGUAGGCGGAGAAGAAGCCCCGGCUAACUUCGUGCCAGCAGCCGCGGUAAUACGAAGGGGGCUAGCGUUGUUCGGAUUUACUGGGCGUAAAGCGCACGUAGGCGGAUUGGUCAGUUAGAGGUGAAAUCCCGAAGCUCAACUUCGGAACUGCCUUUAAUACUGCCAGUCUCGAGUCCGGAAGAGGUAAGUGGAACUCCUAGUGUAGAGGUGGAAUUCGCAGAUAUUAGGAAGAACACCAGUGGCGAAGGCGGCUUACUGGUCCGGAACUGACGCUGAGGUGCGAAAGCGUGGGGAGCAAAC